rnacentral:rRNA from 1 species
GAGCGAAUGGGAUUAAGAGCUUGCUCUUAUGAAGUUAGCGGCGGACGGGUGAGUAACACGUGGGUAACCUGCCCAUAAGACUGGGAUAACUCCGGGAAACCGGGGCUAAUACCGGAUAACAUUUUGAACUGCAUGGUUCGAAAUUGAAAGGCGGCUUCGGCUGUCACUUAUGGAUGGACCCGCGUCGCAUUAGCUAGUUGGUGAGGUAACGGCUCACCAAGGCAACGAUGCGUAGCCGACCUGAGAGGGUGAUCGGCCACACUGGGACUGAGACACGGCCCAGACUCCUACGGGAGGCAGCAGUAGGGAAUCUUCCGCAAUGGACGAAAGUCUGACGGAGCAACGCCGCGUGAGUGAUGAAGGCUUUCGGGUCGUAAAACUCUGUUGUUAGGGAAGAACAAGUGCUAGUUGAAUAAGCUGGCACCUUGACGGUACCUAACCAGAAAGCCACGGCUAACUACGUGCCAGCAGCCGCGGUAAUACGUAGGUGGCAAGCGUUAUCCGGAAUUAUUGGGCGUAAAGCGCGCGCAGGUGGUUUCUUAAGUCUGAUGUGAAAGCCCACGGCUCAACCGUGGAGGGUCAUUGGAAACUGGGAGACUUGAGUGCAGAAGAGGAGAGUGGAAUUCCAUGUGUAGCGGUGAAAUGCGUAGAGAUAUGGAGGAACACCAGUGGCGAAGGCGACUUUCUGGUCUGUAACUG